rnacentral:lncRNA from 1 species
GAAAAUGUUGGCAGAAGCUGACCUAAAGUCUGCAUUCAAGGGAAAUUGCAUGCACAAAGGAUGAGGAGCAACCAUAAGCCUCCAGAUGGAGACAUGGGUGGGUGGUUGGAAGGCUGGUAGAUGACUGAACUUGGAGACCCUGCACAGCUCAUCAUCAUUGCCAGGGGCUCUCGUCUUUUUCCUCCCCUCCCAUGGCUCGCACCUCCAUCCUGGAGUCCAGCAGAGUCAGUGAAGCCCAGGCGGGCAGCGAUGUGUGGCUUAGGGGGGCAGCAAAGCUCCAAAGGACAGGCCCUGCACGACUCCUUCAGCUGCAGCCCCUGCUCGUCUCUGGACCUCAGUCGCCGUCUCCGCUGGCUGUGUGUGGUUCUGCUGCAGGGGGUUUCUCCCCAAACGAUGCCAACAGUGCCGAAAGACUGCUGAGAGGGAUUUUCUUUUCCCUUUGUUUUUAUUCCCCCCCCCCCCCCCCAUUUGGAGAGUUCCCCCCCCCCCCCCCUUCCUGCUGCCUCUGGCUGUUUGAAGCUAGCUUGGGAGUUCUGCUUUUGACUCACUUUACAUCAUCAACUCAUCUGCCGUUUACCGUCUACCCCCCUCCCCACCCUCAACUAGUUUUUACAUCUGAUAAACAGACACAACUAUCUUUUAUUUUCUAUUCCGCUCUUUGCUUGAAGUGGAAGAAGCGGAGCAGAUGCUCCUCUCUGGACUGUGUCAAAGCCAUAAAUAAUGGCAGACAACACAUCACUUAUUAUUUUUUUUUUUUUUGCUCUUUAACGUUUUUAUUCAGUUUUGAACAUUGGAGGGAAAAAAGGUGA